GGGGGAGUAUGGUUGCAAAGCUGAAACUUAAAGGAAUUGACGGAAGGGCACCACCAGGAGUGGAGCCUGCGGCUUAAUUUGACUCAACACGGGAAACCUCACCCGGCCCGGACACGGACAGGAUUGACAGAUUGAUAGCUCUUUCUCGAUUCCGUGGGUGGUGGUGCAUGGCCGUUCUUAGUUGGUGGAGCGAUUUGUCUGGUUAAUUCCGAUAACGAACGAGACUCUGGCAUGCUAACUAGUUACGCGACCCCCGAGCGGUCGGCGUCCCCCAACUUCUUAGAGGGACAAGUGGCGUUCAGCCACCCGAGAUUGAGCAAUAACAGGUCUGUGAUGCCCUUAGAUGUCCGGGGCUGCACGCGCGCUACACUGACUGGCUCAGCGUGUGCCUACCCUACGCCGGCAGGCGCGGGUAACCCGUUGAACCCCAUUCGUGAUGGGGAUCGGGGAUUGCAAUUAUUCCCCAUGAACGAGGAAUUCCCAGUAAGUGCGGGUCAUAAGCUUGCGUUGAUUAAGUCCCUGCCCUUUGUACACACCGCCCGUCGCUACUACCGAUUGGAUGGUUUAAUGAGGCCCUCGGAUCGGCCCCGCCGGGGUCGGCCCACGGCCCUGGAAGAUCGCUGAGAAUAUUUUUUAACUUGACUAUCUAUAGGAAGUAAAAGUCUUAACAAGGUUUCCGUAGGUGAACCUGCCGAAG
rnacentral:ncRNA from 1 species